GCGAGCGUGGCGAAAUUGGUAGACGCACCAGACUUAAAAUCUGGAGGUCUUUUUGACCGUGGGGGUUCAAGUCCCCCCGCUCGCACCA
rnacentral:tRNA from 1 species